UAUGCGGUGAUGAAGAGCUAACAUGUAAGAAGAACCCUUGCAUGCAGGAGUCUUCAAUGAAAUCUACCUGUUACGCUUGGCUUCUGAGCUUA
rnacentral:snoRNA from 1 species